rnacentral:rRNA from 1 species
CCUGGGGAGUACGGCCGCAAGGUUAAAACUCAAAUGAAUUGACGGGGGCCCGCACAAGCGGUGGAGCAUGUGGUUUAAUUCGAUGCAACGCGAAGAACCUUACCUGGUCUUGACAUCCACAGAACUUAGCAGAGAUGCUUUGGUGCCUUCGGGAACUGUGAGACAGGUGCUGCAUGGCUGUCGUCAGCUCGUGUUGUGAAAUGUUGGGUUAAGUCCCGCAACGAGCGCAACCCUUAUCCUUUGUUGCCAGCGGUUCGGCCGGGAACUCAAAGGAGACUGCCAGUGAUAAACUGGAGGAAGGUGGGGAUGACGUCAAGUCAUCAUGGCCCUUACGACCAGGGCUACACACGUGCUACAAUGGCAUAUACAAAGAGAAGCGACCU